rfam:Schistosoma mattheei strain Denwood, Zambia genome assembly, scaffold: SMTD_scaffold0005440
AUCCAGCUGAUGAGUCCCAAAGAAGAAGAAAUGUGCGUCCUGGAU